UNGCUGCAAUAGAAUAAUGAUGAAGUUGC
rnacentral:piRNA from 1 species